CGACUGCUAUCACGCAACUUCUAAUAAUUCUGAUUUAUUUGGUCAAUUGAAUUAAGGGAAAAUGUCGAAGAGCUUAUUUAUUUUUGUGCUGGUGGUGUUUUUGGUCAUUAUGAUUGAUUUUUCAAAAUCAGCAUGCAAGAAUGAAAAUGAAGACUGUCAAACUACAGAUGAUUGCUGUGAUUACCAUAGAUGCUCCCACUCUGAUCAUAAAUGUCAUGAUCCAUCGUGGAAAAUAUUAUCGGAUAGUUGGUAUUCACAAAAACCAAAGUCUUCUUAUUGAAAAAAUGAUAACUAAAACAUUGAACGUAUCUUAAAAAUCUCGUAAUGUUGAAUAUAAAUUUAUC